UUUCGCAAUGCCCGAAAGGGUGACGAAGCGACGCCGCGUGGGUGAGGAAGGCCCUCGGGUUGUAAAGCCCUGUCAGGAGUUAAGAAAUGUAGAUACGCUAAUAUCGUAUCUAUUUGACAAAGGCUCCAAAGGAAGCCACAGCUAACUCUGUGCCAGCAGCCGCGGUAAUACAGAGGUGGCAAGCGUUGUUCGGUAUUAUUGGGCGUAAAGAGCACGUAGGUGGUUUUGUAAGUCAGGUGUGAAAGCCUUCUGUUCAAAGGAAGAACGGCAUCUGAAACUGCAGAUCUUGAGUGUAGGAGGGGAGAGUGGAACUUCUGGUGGAGCGGUGAAAUGCGUAGAUAUCAGAAGGAACGUCGGCGGCGAAAGCGACUCUCUGGCCUAUUACUGACACUGAGGUGCGAAAGUUAGGGGAGCAAACGGGAUUAGAUACCCCGGUAGUCCUAACCGUAAACGAUGGGCACUAAGUAGAGGGGUUUU
rnacentral:rRNA from 1 species